CGCCUGUUUAUCAAAAACAUCUCUUCUCGUUAGUUUUUGAAGUAUGGCCUGCCCACUGACCUUGAAUGUUGAAGGGCCGCGGUAUUUUGACCGUGCAAAGGUAGCAUAGUCAUUAGUUCUUUAAUUGUGAUCUGGUAUGAAUGGUUUGACGAGGCAUAAGCUGUCUUAAUUUUGAAUUGUUUAUUGAAUUUGGUCUUUGAGUUAAAAUUCUUAGAUGUUUUUAUGGGACGAGAAGACCCUAUAGAGUUUGACAUUUAUUAUGGUCUUUUUCUGUUUGUGAGGGUUCACUAGGGCUGUUUAAUAUGUUUUGUUGGGGUGAUGGGAGGGAUAUUAUUUAACCCCUCCUUUGUGUUGUUAUAUUUAUUUAUAUUUGCUUGAUCCAUUUAUUUUGAUUGUAAGAUUAAAUUACCUUAGGGAUAACAGCGUAA
rnacentral:rRNA from 1 species